ensembl:lncRNA
CCCCCUUUCAUCCGAGCCACCCCCAUGCUCCCAAUCCCACAUCCCAGGGCCGCCGGGAGCAGGAAUCCAGGAAGGCGAGCAGGGAGCUCGAGGCUUUGCAUUUCUGGAUUCUGGUUCCCGUUUCUGCUCCCGGCUGUUUCCAUGGAAACUGGCGUCGGACCUGGGAAAAUAAGCUCGGCCCUACGGAGAACUUCACAACGACGUGGUGGUGCUAGAAGCGAUCCCACCCCACGGACACCCACCGCCGCAGCACGCAGCCAUCGGCCCCACAGCCCCACGUGGGCUUUCCCAGCGCCGCCGGAGCUCCCCGCCUCAGGACCCCCAUUUUGGCGCUGGGGAAGGUGGUGGAGAGCCGGAGCGGGGAGAGAACCAGGACAUGGCACCCCAGGGGAGCCGUGCAGCCUAAUGAAUGGAGGCUUUUAAAAAGCACUUUGAGUGAGAAGUGCUGGAGUAGGAACUAAUUAUUCCUCCUGCGUGCGCAACACACUCAUACGCACACGCGUGCACGCGCGCAGGCGCCCUGCUGCCUCCCGGCACCGCAGCUGCACACAUCGCAGCACAGCACCCAGCACCAUGGCAGCAGCGAUGCCAAUCAGCACUGCCACAGCCCGGGCUCCGUGCUUUUUGGCCGCCCGCUCCCCCCGGGCACGGCCGCGGGACCCCCGUCGGGUGCCGUUGCUGCUGGGUGGGUGGGUGCUGUCGGGGCGCGGGGCGACGCUCGCCCUCCUCUCCCCCUUCCCGCGGCUCCCGUCGGUUUUCGGAAGGGUUCCCUCCGCCCCUUCCUCAUUUUAUUACAGAUCCGCCAUUUCACGGCUCUCCGAGGCCGCCCUCUCCCCGACGGACGGCACCUGGAGCCCCGCGCAGAACAGGCACAGAGCAACGCGCGGCGGAUUCAGCGGAGCCGUGGGGAGGAGAGAGGUGGACCCAAACAGAGCCGUUCCCUGCGCUGCUCGGGAAGGUUUGCGCUCCUUCUCACGCUCCCUGCGAGUUUCUCCCUCUGCAAACCCCCCCGGUGCACACAGACCCCCCCGGACACCCCACACUGCUUGGCCACAGGGGCAGGAAAGGGCUGUGCCACGGCCAUGGCGCGCAAAGGAGGCCAGCAGCGUUUCCACAAAGAUAGUUUCUUCCAUUGGCUGCAGUUUGGGGCUGCCAAAAGCCAAAACAAGAAUGGAAACAUCCCAUUUUUUUGGCCAAAAUUCAAGGCAGGUUUUUUUUUUUUUUAAAUUUCUUUCUUUCUUUUUUUUUUUUCUCUCGUCUUUGGUUAGGAACGGAAAUUCCCUGCCAUGAAAACAUGACGAAACCCCAAACCAAAACACAGCUCGGAACGAAACCUUCGCCCAGUUCCCCGGGGAUGCCGUGCAGGGCAGGUCCCAGGGCUGGGCGCUGCGGGGGAAGCGCUGCCACGGGGACCUCUCCGCCCACCAACACGCUUCCCCCUUCAUGCGCCUUUGGGUGACACCACCGCUUCCCAUCCCCACUUUGCACUGCCAGAUGUCAAAACCGGCGCGACGGAGCUGGGAAGGGGCUGCUUUGCAUACAGCACACCCAGAUAGACAGGGGUUCUGUCUGCUUUCCACCUAUCCUGAGCCCCUGUGCAGGGCUUGUGUGUCACGUCCCGGGGUGCCAGCACCCCCUCGGCGCACCCAGUGCUCGCAGCAGAUGCUCUGCUGCAGGAUGAAUGGCCCUCCCCGCCCCAGGCCCCGCUCUGCAGCUCCCGUUCCGGAGCCUGGAUCCGGCCACGCAGGCUGAAUAAGGCUCUGCCUUUGUCCGGCUCCCCCCGUCGCGCUUCCCCUUAUCUAGCCCGGCCGCCUUGCCAAGACCACGAGGCUGUGAGCAGGGAGAGGCGUGCGGCAUCUCCCGGGGCUGUUAACUCUUCUCUGCUCUGCGCACGUUCACCCAGCCCCAUCCCAAAGCCCUCUGGCGCGCCCCGCUCCUCCUCACCCCUGCAUCCCAACCACCCCGCUGUGCGCGGCUGCACGAACCCCUCCCAUCUCCUGGGCACCCCCGGGGGUCUGGGGGUGGGCGCGGGGCCCCGCAGCCCACGGGUGUCCCCGGGGCAGAGCACAGCCUGGCGAUCUGCUGCACUGCUGCGCGCAGCAAUUAACCUCGGGAGAGCAGCGCGGCCGCUGCCAAGAACCACAUUAGGUGUGUGUGGCAGUGUCUAGACAUGCAAGAGACCAGAGGCCUUGAUCUGGAGGAAGGCGGCUCAGUCCCUUCCCCCCCUCCCCGUCCCCCUCCCGGCCUUGGCACGGGGUUCAGCCGCCCCAGCGCCGCUUUUCCCAGCAGGGAUCGCCGGGUGCGGGGAUGCUCAGCAUGAAGCUGAGCCCUGCCCCACAUCCCAACACACCAGGGGGCUCCGGAAGCAUCACGGUGCUGUUUAGCACAGCACAGCCACGGUGCCGAGCAAUGGGUGUCCCAACACCGCACCCCCAGGGUGGGCUGUGAGCAGGGAGGGGGGAAGGCAGCGGCGAGCUGCGCCCAUCCCACCUCCCAGGCAAGAGAUGCAGCAACCGUCCCAACCAUCCCAACCAUCCCGGGGGGGCAGCAGCAAGCCCCCAGCACCAGGGAUGGAGCUAGGCAGGGCCCCAACUCGCCACCUCCCCGUAUCCAUACCCACAGUGCUCAGCCACGCCACACAGCCGGCGCUGCCCAUCCCCUGCUGGCAUGCAGUGCCGCGCUGGCGGCCUCGUGGGUGCUGCGGGGACGGGGUGGGCACUGCGGGGACGGGGUGGGCGCUCCCCCGGCACCCCCUGCUCUCACCUCCACCCCAGCCGGCUGCAGGAUGCUUCGGGAGAAGAGAUUUUCCCGACGUUAAUUAAUUAAAAUAAACAGCAAAUUAAAUACAGCAAAAUUAAAAUAGCUCCGGAAAUUAAUUUUCAACAAAACCCACCUGGAAAGGCUGGAUAUUUAAAGAAUUAAUGGAGCCCUCUGAGACCAUAAAGAACCGCCGAGCUCCCGGCAUCCGCCAGCCCCCUCCGACACCCCCAGGGAGCGCGGGGCCGUGGGGAAAUGAGGACGGGACCCCCGACCGGAGCCCGCCCCGUACCCGCACGCCUUGUCCCCACACCGCCCGGAGCCGCCGCGUGGCCCUGCUGGUGGCUGCACGUGGCUGCCGUGCGAGAGCGAAGCGGUGAGGGAGAGGAGGGAGCAGAGGGAGGAGGAGAGGCUGAGCUCGCAGCUCUGCUCCUCCUGCUGUGCGCUGCGCGGCACGGCGCGCUCCGGCUCGCACCCUCCCGGCACAAACCUUGCAAAACCACCACCUCCAAAAACCCCGCUGCUCACCCCACGCUUAAUCCCCAUAACCACGGCUGGAUUAGAGGGCGGCAGGGCUGGGAAAAGCUCCUUACGGGGGGGGUGCGAGGGGCCGGGACCCCCCCCCACAGCUGCACCGCGCAGCGCACGGGGCUGGGAGCCCCCCCGGCCUCCCCGGUGCCGUUUCCUCUCCCCGCACCCUGGGCGUGUGCACCGGGAAACACCGGUGAGCAAAAAAGCUCCGGAAGGAAACAGAGAAAGCGAGAAAGAAGCGCGCAGGAACCCACGAGCCCCAGCGCCGGGCGCACCGCCAGCAUCGCCGCUCCCACCCGCACACGGCACUGGGAUCGGCUCCGGCCUCGCACCCGCACCGCGUCCCGCAGUGUCACCGCGACCUCGGCCCCGCGCCCUGCCAGGUUUCCCCUCCGCUUGCCAGCGAUGCCAGCGGGCAGAGGUGGAGGACGAUGGAAGCAGGGGGCGAAGGAAGGGUGUGGGGAGGGAGAGGGUGGCUAUUUUUCCUCCCCCCCCGUUUAUUUUCUUGCUGCGGACAAAGGUGGCUCUGCGUGCCGGCCGGGAGGGCACGGGACGCCGGUGGGGCAGCCGCUCCGGGGCUUUGGGUGGCCGCUUCCUCCGCACACAGAUGGCUGUUUCGACUCAGUCGAGCGCUUGACCUAAAUCUCCUCCUGAUCCACGGGAGCUGCAGUCCCUCAGCAGCACAGCUCAAGGCGAGGAGGAGGAGGAGGAGGAGGAGGAGGAGGAGGAGGAGGAAGGGAGCCAGCUGCAGACCGGCGGGAGGGUCACGCCGUGGGGUCCCCACCCCAGGGCUGGCGGAGGGUGGAAAUCUCCACCAUCUCCGACCUAUCUCCGCCAUCUCCCAAACCUCCGAAACCUCGGAAAUCUCCAAAAUCUCCGGAAUCUCCCACGCUUGGAGCCCCGGCACCCACUUCCCGCGCCUGCGCGCCCGGCCCCGCAGCUUCGACGCCCCGGCAGCCCACUUCCUCGCCCCGGGGGCCUCGCAGAGGAAGCUCCAACGGUUCCGAAAGUUUUCGGCUGUGACUCAGCCGCUGGCUGGGGUGGCCGAGGUCGGCCCCGACGUGGGGCCGCGGGACCCCGGCGGUUCGGGGGGAUUUUUGGGCUCCCCAGACGAGGGCUGUCUGCACCGCGCCGCGCUCCACCCCCAGUGUCAGAGCAGCCCAAACCGGCUCCCAGCGACAGCAGAAAGCUUUUAAAAUCCCCUACGCGCGGCAUGACUCACUCCAAAGCCAGUGCCCAAAACAAGCUCCGACACGGAGAGGAAUGGAGACGGCAGAGAUGUUGGGGGCGGGCAGGAGGGGCUGGGGAGGGCCGGGGAAGGGGAAAAGGGGGAGAGAGGGAGACAGAAGGAGGCAGAGAAAGAGAAGAGGCAGAAAUAACAGCAUCUGAAACUCUGCCUGCUGGAGGCUAAUUGGUUCCGGCACAGCCUGCUCCCAACUGCCUCCGUCCCCGGAGAGGUUUCGAAGGCGAGUGACCCAAGAACUGGAAUGCGCAAAGCCUCCAGCAAACAGAGCCAGCUGCCUGCGCCCGCACAGGGGGGGCGGCGAGGGGAGAGCAGCCGGCCCCGCGGCACGGCACGGCACAGCACGGCAUGGAGUGCCACGGAACAGCAUGGCACGGCACUGCACCACGUGGCACAGCGUGGCAGGGCGCAGCGCCACAUGGCACCACAUGGCAAAGCACGGCACGGUGCGGAAUGGCACGGCAUGGCACGGCGUGGGGUGGCACAGCUCGGUGCUGCACGGCGUGGCACGGUUCUGCACGGUGUGGCACAGCAUGGCGCGGCGUGGCAUGGCGCACGGCACAGCACAAUGCACCACGGCGCAGCACAGUGGUGUGUGGCGCGGUGCCGCAUGGCACAGCACAGCUCGGCGCUGCACAGCCCCAUGCACAUGGCCCCAGCCUGCUCUCCCAGGGCUGACUGGAUUGAAAUGAGGUUGGCACAUCCCCAGCUCUGGCAAGAGGCCUCACUCUGCCCCACAAACCACUUGAGCUCCCCUUUCCUCGCUCCUGCCUGCUCCCCGCCUGAGUUUUGGAGGCACGCGGACAUCCUGACCUAGAGACAUAUGUGGGGAGGAUGCUGUGCUCCCCACCUGGCUCCAGACCUGAAUCCCUGGGAGGCCAGAGGACCUCUAGGACAAACAAAGCCACCCCAGGUGCCAGGAGGGAGGGAGGACAGACACAACCCUGCUGCCCUCCAGGUCUGCAGGGGAUCCGGUGGGGUCUCAGACAGCUCCGUGUCCGCGAGCGUGCAGAGCCCCAGCGCCCGAGCGCGUGCACGCGGAUGUCUGGGUUUGUCACAGCCUGGUGAGCAAGUUAAUCUCAGGCUCCCUGACACGUGGAAUAAAAUCGCGAUCCCAUAAUGGAAUUCAUUCGUCUUCCUGUCCAGGCACAGAACAAGCCCCCUGCCGGAGCCGGGGCGCGGGAGCCGGGGCCAGGCACUCACUGGGGGACCCCACUGCCCUGCUGGGAACCACAGAGCUGGCGCAUCUGCUGCAGUCAGACACGGAGAGAGGGAGAUGGAGGGAGAGGGGAGACGGCACCCAGGAUGUGGUGGCACUGCUCUGUGGCUGUGUCCCUGCCCCAAGGAUGCCCCUCGGGGCCACCCAAAGCCACACUGACCACCCAUCGCCAGAGAGGGUUUGUGCUGGGGAUGAAGGAAACUGAGUCACGCUCGGGAUAGCCGUGGGGAUGGGGUCUGCACUGUGGCCCCGAUGUGCCGUCACCUUUGACACACUGCCUGGACCCCAUCACCAGGAGGUUGGCAUAAAAAAUGGUAUUUUUUUCAAAUACUUAUGGUUUUGCCUUGUUGGAGGAGGCUUCUUGAUCACCCCUUCGCACUCACCCUCUGCUUCCCUGCAGCCCUGAGGAACUGAACGCAGGAUCUGAGCAUCGCCUGGGGGCACUCCAGGGCCAUGGCUGUUGGGACAGCUCAUGCAAUGCAGCUAUGGUGGGAAAACACACCAUGGAGGUGCUGAGCACACCCCGGUCACCCCAGCUGCAUCCCUGGUGCUCCUUAGCAUCCCCUCCAUGCACGGGCAGAACCUGGGGGCUGUGAGGAUGAGCCCCACCGCAGGGCACGGAGCUGGGGCUUGGCCCCACUGUCACACCAGUGCUAUCCCAUUGUCACUCUUGUGUCCCCAGCUGAGGCUCUCCGGGACAAAGACCUCAACAUCACACACGGGGACAACGCACAGCCCAACCCCACACUGCAGGACCCUGCAGUCACACAAGACAUCACCGAACACAGCCAGGCUGCAGUGUCCCCCCAGUUCCCCGCCAUGCUCCGUGACAGCCACGUGUCCCCAAGUUUUGAAGGCUCAGCUUCCACCACCACAGGGGUUCAGACAACCUGUAGGGGUUGGUGGGGGGAGUCUGCUGACAAACUCCCACCCCUGCCUCUGCUAGCAUCAGAGCUGCCAUCCCUUCCUCCUCCUCUCCUCCUCCUCAUCCGCAGCGACCACCACCAAACCCAGGAGACCAAUCCCUCUGCCUCCUUCCCUGCAACUUGCACCAUUUGCCUGGCAGCCAGGAGGAAGGAGGGGAGCGCAG